GAUGAACGCUAGCGGCAGGCUUAACACAUGCAAGUCGAGGGGCAACACGGGUAGCAAUACCUGGUGGCGACCGGCGCAAGGGUGCGUAACGCGUGAGCAACAUGCCCUAUACAGGGGGAUAAUCCAGGGAAACUUGGUCUAAUAUCCCAUAGUAUUUAGAGGUGGCAUCACCACUAAAUUAAAGCUUCGGUGGUAUAGGAUUGGCUCGCGUGACAUUAGCUGGAUGGUGGGGUAACGGCUCACCAUGGCGAUGAUGUCUAGGGGUUCUGAGAGGAAGACCCCCCACACUGGGACUGAGACACGGCCCAGACCCCUACGGGAGGCAGCAGUGAGGAAUAUUGGACAAUGGAUGGAAAUCUGAUCCAGCCAUGCCGCGUGCAGGAAGACGGCCCUAUGGGUUGUAAACUGCUUUUAUAUGGGAGCAAUAAGGUUUACGCGUAGACCGAUGAGAGUACCAUAUGAAUAAGCAUCGGCUAACUCCGUG
rnacentral:rRNA from 1 species